rnacentral:lncRNA from 1 species
ACAAAUCCCAGGAAACAUAUUUUAACCAGAAAAACCAGCAGAAAAAUUCCAGCAACAACAGAACAAUAAAACAGCCAAUACCAGCACCAGAUUGACCAAAACUCAAACCAAAAAUCAAUAGGGAAAGAAUUUGACCCCCAUCUAUACUAACAGUAAUACAAAUGACCCCAGGAUUGGAACCAAACAACUAAAUUGGACGAAGCUUACUCAAAAUCAGACCAACAACUAAAUCCCAAUUAAAUAGAAACUCACAACCAAACAGAAAAAUCAGGAAAGCGAGUCUGACAAUCAGUAGUACUAAAUGCAAUCCACAUAAGUGGUAACAAAGUUCUGACUUUCAACGGUAAAGAAAAGGCUUCUCUUUUAGUUUUUAGCUCUCAAAGAUUGAUUUUCAAGUUUUGAAAAAUCAGCCUAUCUCUCACUCUUAAGUUCAAAAAUUUUCAUUGUCA